rnacentral:rRNA from 1 species
UACGUUGGGUGCGAGCGUUAAUCGGAAUUACUGGGCGUAAAGCGUGCGCAGGCGGUUUUGUAAGCCAGAUGUGAAAUCCCCGGGCUUAACCUGGGAAUGGCAUUUGGGACUGCAAGGCUCGAGUGCGGCAGAGGAGACUGGAAUUCCUGGUGUAGCAGUGAAAUGCGUAGAUAUCAGGAGGAACACCGAUGGCGAAGGCAGGUCUCUGGGCUGACACUGACGCUCAUGCACGAAAGCGUGGGGAGCAAACAGG